AAAACCAAAUGAGCAACUCCCUUUCCCCUUUCUUUUCCCAUCAAUAUCAACAAUUUCAACAAAAACAGCAACCAACCACGACUUUCAAACAUCACAACGUACAAAACCAAUCAACAAUAGUUGCAACAACAGCUCAACAACAAUAAUCAAAUCAUACCAAUUUUAUUCCAAAAUUUAUAAUUUCAAAAUCCUUUCCGAAAAUCCAAAAAUACCCUUCUCUGUUCCCCUCAAAAUCAGUCCAUAAAUACCUAAGAACAAGAGUGAAGGAGGGAGGGAUCUCUUUGGAGAAUUCUUAAGGAAAAAAAAGAAACUUUUUAGAGAGGAUUUUCAGGUAAAAAUUGGGAAUUAUGGAGGUGCAUGCUUCUAAUCCCACAUAAUUGAAAAUUCUUGAAGAACACAUCCAAAAAAACUCGAUUCCGGCGAACCAAAAAUUUAAGCAUCGGUGAAGGCUUCGUCGUAAUAGGCUCUUCCGUCCUGGUUCCUGCCCCGGAAGAGACCAAAGUCCCAAAAAUGGACUAAGAAACAAGUAUACAAGCUGGCACAUGCUGAUAUACAGCGUGUAUACAUGAAGAACAGUAGAUGCUCACUAUCCUAUGGUGUAUGA